GAUGAACGCUGCCCGAAUGCUUAACACAUGCAAGUCAACUUGAACUUCGGUUUGGGUGGCGGACGGGUGAGUAACGCGUAAAGAACUUGCCUCACAGCUAGGGACAACAUUUGGAAACGAAUGCUAAUACCUGAUAUUAUGAUUAUAUGGCAUCGUAUAAUUAUGAAAGCUAUAUGCGCUGUGAGAGAGCUUUGCGUCCCAUUAGCUAGUUGGAGAGGUAACAGCUCACCAAGGCGAUGAUGGGUAGCCGGCCUGAGAGGGUGAUCGGCCACAAGGGGACUGAGACACGGCCCUUACUCCUACGGGAGGCAGCAGUGGGGAAUAUUGGACAAUGGACCGAGAGUCUGAUCCAGCAAUUCUGUGUGCACGAUGAAGUUUUUCGGAAUGUAAAGUGCUUUCAGUUGGGAAGAAAAAAAUGACGGUACCAACAGAAGAAGUGACGGCUAAAUACGUG
rnacentral:rRNA from 1 species